UACGUAGGGGGCAAGCGUUGACCGGAUUUAUUGGGCGUAAAGAGCGUGUAGGCGGCCAGGUAGGUCUGGUGUGAAAACUCGAGGCUCAACCUCGAGAGGUCAUCGGAAACCAUUUGGCUAGAGCCCGGAAGAGGAGAGUGGAAUUCCCGGUGUAGCGGUGAAAUGCGCAGAUAUCGGGAAGAACACCUAUGGCGAAGGCAGCUCUCUGGGACGGUACUGACGCUGAGACGCGAAAGCGUGGGGAGCGAACAGG
rnacentral:rRNA from 1 species